rnacentral:rRNA from 1 species
AGUGAACGCUGGCGGUAGGCCUAACACAUGCAAGUCGAACGGCAGCACAGGAGAGCUUGCUCUCUGGGUGGCGAGUGGCGGACGGGUGAGGAAUACAUCGGAAUCUACUCUGUCGUGGGGGAUAACGUAGGGAAACUUACGCUAAUACCGCAUACGACCUACGGGUGAAAGCAGGGGACCUUCGGGCCUUGCGCGAUUGAAUGAGCUGAUGUCGGAUUAGCUAGUUGGCGGGGUAAAGGCCCACCAAGGCGACGAUCCGUAGCUGGUCGGAGAGGAUGAUCAGCCACACUGGAACUGAGACCCGGUCCAGACUCCUACGGGAGGCAGCAGUGGGGAAGAUUGGACAAUGGGCGCAAGCCUGAUCCAGCCAUACCGCGUGGGUGAAGAAGGCCUUCGGGUUGUAAAGCCCUUUUGUUGGGAAAGAAAUCCAGCUGGCUAAUACCCGGUUGGGAUGACGGUACCCAAAGAAUAAGCACCGGCUAACUUCGUGCCAGCCGCCGCCGUAA